GCCUGGGUGGCUCAGUUGGUUGAGCAUCUGACUUCAGCUCAGGUCAUGAUCUCACAGUUGUGGGCUUGAGCCCCAUGUCGGGCU
rnacentral:tRNA from 1 species